CAGUGGGGAAUAUUGGCACAAUGGGCGCAAGCCUGAUCCAGCCAUGCCGCGUGUGUGAAGAAGGCCUUCGGGUUGUAAAGCACUUUUGUUGGGGAAGAAAACCCGUCGGUUAAUACCUGGUGGGAAUGACGGUACCCAAAGAAUAAGCACCGGCUAACUUCGUGCCAGCAGCCGCGGUAAUACGAAGGGUGCAAGCGUUACUCGGAAUUACUGGGCGUAAAGCGUGCGUAGGCGGUUGGUUAAGUCUGCUGUGAAAGCCCUGGGCUCAACCUGGGAACUGCAGUGGAUACUGGCCAGCUAGAGUGUGUCAGAGGAUGGUGGAAUUCCCGGUGUAGCGGUGAAAUGCGUAGAGAUCGGGAGGAACACCAGUGGCGAAGGCGGCCAUCUGGGACAACACUGACGCUGAGGCACGAAAGCGUGGGGAGCAAACAGGAUUAGAUACCCUGGUAGUCCACGCCCUAAACGAUGCGAACUGGACGUUGGGCACACUUAGGUGCUCAGUGUCGAAGCUAACGCGUUAAGUUCGCCGCCUGGGGAGUACGGUCGCAAGACUGAAACUC
rnacentral:rRNA from 1 species